AUUAACUUUAAUAUACAGAUACAAAACAACAAAUAUAGAUUCACAGCAUUUACAAGAAAUCAUUCAAAUAACAUUGUAAAUAAUACCUAUUUUUUUCUUUUUACAAAAACUUCAUUCAACAGAAAUACCUGUCAAGUUAUAGCAGUCUGGUACAACAUAGUUCAGCUGUCAACAGCUAACUCAUCAGUUUCGAAGCUGUCACUUGGCUUAACAACAUUGUCUUGAUGCUGAUGGGUUAAAAAUCAAGGAAAAGGUUACUAGAAGUUUGCAAAAUGGGUAAACACAACUGAUGCCGAUAUUUACAAAAGAGACCAAUUAUUAAAUUACAGAGUCAGUUAGAGGAAAGUAUUUUCUAAACAUGAAGGUCGAUGCCUAUGACAUAACUAAGACAAUGAAGUGAAGUGUGUUGUAGCUAAGUAUGUCUGCAUCAAAUAUUUAAGCUUCUGGGUUUCUCUUUUCGAGAUCCGACAGUUGGCUGCUUAUUCUAUUCAAAACCAUUUGAACUCUACGUCUGCUGCGCGCAUGCUGAGAUAACAGCAUCAGCCGAGUGGAAUUCUGACAAGGACAUUUGUAGGGUAAGCUUAUCACAGGGACACCUGCUUCUGAGCGGUCUGACCUCGCCGAUCUGUGUCCAGCAUCCCUGGCCUGUCAGCCACCAAAGGGACAUUUAUCCACACUUGUCACCGCUGGCCUGUGAGGGACACAUGUGUUUCUGCUCUCUUCCAUAAAACAACCAUACAGCACGCUUCUUCCUGACUCCAGGUACUCGGGCUGCUCUAUUCGGACAACAGCAACGUAGGAUCGAGGGGAUUUUCUGAACAGGCUUGGAGUUGGUCUUUGUCUGGACUAGGUAUAAAAAGGCACAACAAUGCUCAGAAACAGCAUGGAGCCCGGGGGUGAAAUGUUUUCCACAACAACAUCAGAUCUAUCAGGGAAAAGAGGAGAUCUACUGAAAAUCACACUAUGAAGAAGGGACCCCGCGAAAGCUCUAGCACAUUGCUGUCAUCCUUUUUCUUAUCUGUGGGCCAAAGAUACAGAAUGGUGUUUCUCUGGGAUUUUACAAAUGUCCCAUUUUAUGAUGGUUUACGAUUUACUGCAAGGUUGCUGUGCAUUUUUGGUAGGAUUAAAACUGAGAAGGCUGCUUUUGACUCACGGUCAUUUGAGUGGUCUUCCAAAAGAGUUGGCAAAUUCUGAAAUAUAAAUAAUAGAAUAAGUGAACUUU